UUUUAAUUUUCGGCCGUUGGAUCGGAUGAAUUGAAGAAGAUCAACGGACAUAAAUUAUCAAGGGGUGUGUGAGAAGUAAAAUAGGGUGUGUGGAUAGCACACCCCAUGAUGAUAUUAACAACAAUAAAUAAAUAGUCAUAUUAAUUCACACUAUUGACUAAUAGAAUUGAUAACUUGUUUAGCAGAGCUCUGAAAGGAAUUAGAGCUCACCCAUACAAACAUUCCUGGAAUGACUUUUCGUCAUGCUUGUCAGACUAAUCUUAAUUUCAAGUUUCAAUCUGAAACCCUAAUUAUGGUUUCUAAACAAUUAUAUAAUCUCGGAUCACACAUAUUUAUGAAUGUGAAUGAAUUUACUAUGUAGAAAGAACAGUGAUGGAAUCAUAAUUUCUUAUAAAAGGGCGUCGUACUAAUAUUAUAAAAAAAAACAGUUGGAGCUCAUACAAUACACCAAACCACUAACUGAAAACAUUUAUAUCCACUACAACCAUGGUUGUCCUCCAUUUUCGUAAAGAUGGAGAGAGAAAUAAAAUCCCCAUUAUCAAAGAUUCAAAGUACACAUCUACAAAUGAAAAAGAGAUUCACAAAAUUUUAGUUAAUCCUCGUUCCUAUUCGCUAGGGGGAAAACACAUCUUAAGAUUUUAUAUAAAUUGUUUGUGUAAAUCACCUAAACUGAAUAAAUAUAUGAUACAAAAUAUUUUUUAGACAAUUCUGUUGGAUAGGAUUUGGACUCUUGUGUUGUUAUCAUGUAUUAGGAUAUUAAUCCUCUCUGUUGUAGGCUUUAUCUCUUAGGACAUUGAUCUCUAAGUUUCCUGAAUUACGAAUUGAAUCAGUUUUUACAAUUUCUUUCCAGAUAUCUGUUGA
rnacentral:lncRNA from 1 species